GUUGCGGAUAUAAACGUUGUCGGUUUCGGAGACGUGUGACAAAGUCCAACUAGCCGUUGGGGAGUCUGAAAGAGUUUUCAAAAAGGUGACGGCUACGUGACCGGCGGACCGGUCGAGUGAUGAGAAGUGGUCGUUGGUUAAGUCCAGAUAAUCUUAAUAAAAAAUAGAAUUUGUAUUGUUGAUUUUUUUUUUCCCUUUCUUUUAAUACGGUGGUACAUUCGAACGUGGAGAGCACAUGC
rnacentral:lncRNA from 1 species